rnacentral:rRNA from 1 species
CUAAGUUUGAUGGCGACCGGCGCACGGGUGAGUAACACGUACCCAACCUGCCGAUGACUCGGGGAUAGCCUUUCGAAAGAAAGAUUAAUACCCGAUGGCAUAGUUCUUCCGCAUGGUAGAACUAUUAAAGAAUUUCGGUCAUCGAUGGGGAUGCGUUCCAUUAGGUUGUUGGCGGGGUAACGGCCCACCAAGCCUUCGAUGGAUAGGGGUUCUGAGAGGAAGGUCCCCCACAUUGGAACUGAGACACGGUCCAAACUCCUACGGGAGGCAGCAUG